CGGACGGGUGAGUAAUGUCUGGGAAACUGCCCGAUGGAGGGGGGUAGCUACUGGAAACGGUAGCUAAUACCGCAUAAUGUCUGCGGACCAAAGCGGGGGACCUCCGGGCCUCGCGCCAUCAGAUGAACCCAUAUGGGAUUAGCUAGUAGGUAAGGUAACGGCUUACCUAGGCGACGAUCCCUAGCUGGUCUGAGAGGAUGACCAGCCACACUGGAACUGAGACACGGUCCAG
rnacentral:rRNA from 1 species